AUUUGAAUAGCUUAUAUUUAGAGUAUAACAUUGAAGAUGUUAUUGAGGUAAAUACUUACCUUCAAAUA
rnacentral:tRNA from 1 species